UCCUCAGUAGCUCAGUGGUAGAGCCGUCGGCUGUUAACUGACUGGUCRUAGGUUCGAAUCCUACUUGGGGAG
rnacentral:tRNA from 1 species